rnacentral:rRNA from 1 species
AUACGGUCAAGCUAUGAAGGGCGCGCGGUGGAUGCCUAGGCGUCGAGAGGCGAAGAAGGACGUGGACAGCUGCGAAAAGCUUCGGGGAGCUGCUAACGAGCGUUGAUCCGAAGAUAUCCGAAUCGGGAAACCGACUUGGCGUAAGCCAAGGAGCCAUCACUGAAUCCAUAGGUGAUGAGCGGCCAACCCGGGGAACUGAAACAUCUAAGUACCCGGAGGAAAAGAAAUCAACCGAGACCCCCCAAGUAGCGGCGAGCGAAAAGGGGCCAGCCUAAACCUAUACAGUGUAAGCCUGGGGGCGUUGCUGUAUGGGAGUCGUGGGAUCACUCAGAGGAACCCCAGCACCUCACAGAGUUAUCAACUCAGUACCUAGUCGAACGGCAUGGAAAGGCCGGCCAUAGAGGUGACAGCCCUGUAAGCGAAAGGAACUGAGCUCUGAGUGACACCCGAGUACCACAGGACACGUGUAAUCCGGUGGGAAUCUGGGAGGACCAUCUUCCAAGGCUAAGUACUACUCGACGACCGAUAGUGGACAAGUACCGUGAGGGAAAGGUGAAAGUACCCCGGUGAGGGGAGUGAAAUAGUACCUGAAACCGCGCGUCUACAAGCAGUUGAAGCACUUAUGCUCUUCGGGGAACGUGCGACAGCGUACCUUUUGCAUCAUGGGCCUGCGAGUUAUCCAUGUCGCAAGGUUAAGCCGAUAGGUGUAGCCGAAGCGAAAGCGAGUUCAAAUAGAGCGCUAAGUGGCAUGGGUAGACCCGAAACCAGGCGAUUAUCCAUGAGCAGGUUGAAGCGCAGGUAAAACCGCGUGGAGGACCGAACCCACUCGUUGAAAAUUGAGGGAUGACUUGUGGAUAGAGUGAAAGGCUAAUCAAGCCAGGAGAUAGCUGGUUCUCCGCGAAAUAUAUUGAGGUAUAGCCUCGGACGAAUGCACCGGAGGUAGAGCACUGAAUGGGCUAGGGUCCUACCAGAUUACCAAACCCAAUCAAACUCCAGAAUGCCGGUGACAACUAUCCGGGAGACAGGCUGCGGGUGAUAAGGUCCGUAGCCGAGAGGAAAGAGCCCAGAUCGACAGCUAAGGUCCCCAAAUCCACGCUAAGUGUAGAAGGAUGUGGAGCGCUCAGACAGCCAGGAGGUUGGCUUAGAAGCAGCCACCCUUUAAAGAAAGCGUAAUAGCUCACUGGUCGAGCGAGCCUGCGCCGAAAAUGUAACGGGGCUAAAGCGUGGUACCGAAGCUUCGGGUUCUCGUAAGAGAGCGGUAGCGGAGUAUUCUCAGAUAGAUACGAGGUGUACCGUAAGGAGCGCUGAUGGAUCUGAGAAGAGCUUAUGCAGGCAUGAGUAGCGAUAAACCGGGUGAGAAGCCCGGUCGCCGUAAGCCUCAAGGUUUCCCGGGGAAGGAUCAUCCUCCUGAGGGUUAGUCGGACCCUAAGCCGAGCCCGAAAGGGUAGGUGAUGGAAAGCAGGUUAAUAUUCCUGCACCACUAACGACGACGUUGAACCGAGCAGGGACGAAGAAGGGUAGGUCGAGCCAAUCGUUUGGUCUGAUUGGUUCAAGCGCGUAGGCGGAGUUCGUAGGAGGCAACAGCUACAAACGCGAGCUCAACGCCGAGACGUGAUGAGGUGAGUCUUCGGACUCGAAACUCGAUGAUCCCAUGCUUCCGAGAAAAGCUGCGCGGGGAGUCCCGUUAGUGACCGUACCGCAAACCGACUCAGGUGGGCGGGGUGAGUAUCCCAAGGCGCGUGAGAGAAUGCUGGCUAGGAACUCGGCAAUUGGCACCGUAACUUCGGAGAGGUGUGCUCCAUUACGUGAAGUGCCUCGCGCACGGAGCGGACGGGGUUGCAGUGAACUGGGGGUUGCGACUGUUUACUAAAACACAGGACUCUGCGAACUCGUAAGAGGACGUAUAGGGUCUGACGCCUGCCCGGUGCUGGAAGGUUAAGGGGAGAUGUUAGCCCUCGGGCGAAGCUUCGAACCGAAGCCCCAGUAAACGGCGGCCGUAACUAUAACGGUCCUAAGGUAGCGGAAUUUUGUCGGGUAAGUUCCGACCUGCACGAAUGGCGUAACGACAUCCCCACUGUCUCGGCCAGCAACUCAGCGAAUUGUACUGGGGUGAAGAUACCUCUACCCGCGGCAAGACGGAAAGACCCCGUGAACCUUCACUGCAACUUGGCAGUGAUGCUCGGACAGUCUGCGUAGGAUAGGUGGGAGACUUUGAAGUCGGGAUUCCGGUCUCGAUGGAGUCAACCUUGAAAUACCACCCUGGCUGUUCUGGGCGUCAACCUAGGCCCGUUAUCCGGGUCGGGGACACUGUCUGGUGGGCAGUUUGAUCUGGGGCGGUCGCUCCCAAAAAGUAACGGAGGCGCGCGAUGGUUCCUCAGGCUGAUUGGAAACCAGCCGUAGAGUGCAAAGGCAUAAGGGAGCUUGACUGCGAGACCGACAGGUCGAGCAGGUGCGAAAGCAGGCCUUAGUGAUCCGGUAUCUCCGCAUGGAAGGGAUAUCGCUCAACGGAUAAAAGGUACUCGGGGAUAACAGGCUGAUCGCGCCUGAGAGUUCAUAUCGGCGGCGCGGUUUGGCACCUCGAUGUCGGCUCAUCCCAUCCUGGGGCUGGAGCAGGUCCCAAGGGUUUGGCUGUUCGCCAAUUAAAGGGGUACGCGAGCUGGGUUUAGAACGUCGUGGAGACAGUUCGGUCCCUAUCUGCCGGGCGCAGGACGCUUGAGAGGAGCUAACCAUAGUACGAGAGGACCUGGUUGACGUACCUCUGGUGAUCCGGUUGUUCUGCCAAGGCAUCGCCGGGUAGCUACGUACGGAACGGAUAACCGCUGAAAGCAUCUAAGCGGGAAGCCGGCCUCGAGAUGAGGCGUCCGGGCCGCAAGGCCCUGAAGGCCCUUGAAGACUACAAGGUGAUAGGCCAGGUGUGGAAGCACAGCAAUGUGUGGAGCUAACUGGUACUAAUCGGCCGUGAGGCUUGACCUAUCUC